rnacentral:tRNA from 1 species
GCCUGGGUGGCUUAGUCAGUUAAGCGUCUGACUUAGGCUCAGGUCAUGAUCUUGCGGUUCGUGGGUCUGAGCCCCGCGUCGGGCU